UACGUAGGGGGCAAGCGUUGUCCGGAAUUAUUGGGCGUAAAGAGCGUGUAGGCGGUCCGGUAAGUCAGCUGUGAAAGUCAAGGGCUCAACCCUUGAAUGCCGGUGGAUACUGCAGGGCUAGAGUCCGGAAGAGGCGAGUGGAAUUCCUGGUGUAGCGGUGGAAAUGCGCAGAUAUCAGGAGGAACACCAAUGGCGAAGGCAGCUCGCUGGGACGACACUGACGCUGGAUGCGCGGAAAGCUAGGGGAGCGAACGGG
rnacentral:rRNA from 1 species